rnacentral:rRNA from 1 species
GACGAACGCUGGCGGCGUGCUUAACACAUGCAAGUCGAACGGAAAGGCCCUGCUUUUGUGGGGUGCUCGAGUGGCGAACGGGUGAGUAACACGUGAGUAACCUGCCCUUGACUUUGGGAUAACUUCAGGAAACUGGGGCUAAUACCGGAUAGGGGCUCCUGCUGCAUGGUGGGGGUUGGAAAGUUUCGGCGGUUGGGGAUGGACUCGCGGCUUAUCAGCUUGUUGGUGGGGUAGUGGCUUACCAAGGCUUUGACGGGUAGCCGGCCUGAGAGGGUGACCGGCCACAUUGGGACUGAGAUACGGCCCAGACUCCUACGGGAGGCAGCAGUGGGGAAUAUUGCACAAUGGGCGGAAGCCUGAUGCAGCAACGCCGCGUGCGGGAUGACGGCCUUCGGGUUGUAAACCGCUUUCGCCUGUGACGAAGCGUGAGUGACGGUAAUGGGUAAAGAAGCACCGGCUAACUACGUGCCAACAGCCGCGGUGAUACGUAAGGUGCGAGCGUUGUCCCGAUUUAUUGGGCGUAAAGGGCUCGUAGGUGGUUGAUCGCGUCGGAAGUGUAAUCUUGGGGCUUAACCCUGAGCGUGCUUUCGAUACGGGUUGACUUGAGGAAGGUAGGGGAGAAUGGAAUUCCUGGUGGAGCGGUGGAAUGCGCAGAUAUCAGGAGGAACACCAGUGGCGAAGGCGGUUCUCUGGGCCUUUCCUGACGCUGAGGAGCGAAAGCGUGGGGAGCGAACAGGCUUAGAUACCCUGGUAGUCCACGCUGUAAACGGUGGGUACUAGGUGUGGGGUCCAUUCCACGGGUUCCGUGCCGUAGCUAACGCUUUAAGUACCCCGCCCGGGGAGUACGGCCGCAAGGCUAAAACUCAAAGGAAUUGACGGGGCCCCGCACAAGCGGCGGAGCAUGCGGAUUAAUUCGAUGCAACGCGUAGAACCUUACCUGGGUUUGACAUGGAUCGGGAGUGCUCAGAGAUGGGUGUGCCUCUUUUGGGGUCGGUUCACAGGUGGUGCAUGGCUGUCGUCAGCUCGUGUCGUGAGAUGUUGGGUUAAGUCCCGCAACGAGCGCAACCCUUGUUCACUGUUGCCAGCACGUUAUGGUGGGGACUCAGUGGAGACCGCCGGGGUCAACUCGGAGGAAGGUGGGGAUGACGUCAAGUCAUCAUGCCCCUUAUGUCCAGGGCUUCACGCAUGCUACAAUGGCUGGUACAGAGAGUGGCGAGCCUGUGAGGGUGAGCGAAUCUCGGAAAGCCGGUCUCAGUUCGGAUUGGGGUCUGCAACUCGACCUCAUGAAGUCGGAGUCGCUAGUAAUCGCAGAUCAGCAACGCUGCGGUGAAUACGUUCCCGGGGCU